UACGAAGGGGGGCUAGCGUUGUUCGGAUUUACUGGGCGUAAAGCGCACGUAGGCGGAUUGUUAAGUCGGGGGGUGAAAUCCUGGAGCUCAACUUCAGAAUUGCCUUCGAUACUGGCUUUCUAGAGGCUGGAAGAGGUUAGUGGAAUUCCCAGUGUAGAGGUGAAAUUCGUAGAUAUUGGGAAGAACACCAGUGGCGAAGGCGGCUAACUGGUCCAGAUCUGACGCUGAGGUGCGAAAGCGUGGGGAGCGAACAGG
rnacentral:rRNA from 1 species